GGGUGCGAUCAUACCAGCAUUAAUGCACCAAAUCCCAUCAGAACUCCGCAAUUAAGUGCGCUUGGGCUAGAGUAGUACUGGGAUGGGUGACCUCUCGGGAAGUCCUAGUGUUGCACCCU
rnacentral:rRNA from 1 species